rnacentral:rRNA from 1 species
GACGAACGCUGGCGGCGUGCUUAACACAUGCAAGUCGAACGGAAAGGCCCUGCUUUUGUGGGGUGCUCGAGUGGCGAACGGGUGAGUAACACGUGAGUAACCUGCCCUUGACUUUGGGAUAACUUCAGGAAACUGGGGCUAAUACCGGAUAGGAGCUCCUGCUGCAUGGUGGGGGUUGGAAAGUUUCGGCGGUUGGGGAUGGACUCGCGGCUUAUCAGCUUGUUGGUGGGGUAGUGGCUUACCAAGGCUUUGACGGGUAGCCGGCCUGAGAGGGUGACCGGCCACAUUGGGACUGAGAUACGGCCCAGACUCCUACGGGAGGCAGCAGUGGGGAAUAUUGCACAAUGGGCGGAAGCCUGAUGCAGCAACGCCGCGUGCGGGAUGACGGCCUUCGGGUUGUAAACCGCUUUCGCCUGUGACGAAGCGUGAGUGACGGUAAUGGGUAAAGAAGCACCGGCUAACUACGUGCCAGCAGCCGCGGUGAUACGUAGGGUGCGAGCGUUGUCCGGAUUUAUUGGGCGUAAAGGGCUCGCAGGUGGUUGAUCGCGUCGGAAGUGUAAUCUUGGGGCUUAACCCUGAGCGUGCUUUCGAUACGGGUUGACUUGAGGAAGGUAGGGGAGAAUGGAAUUCCUGGUGGAGCGGUGGAAUGCGCAGAUAUCAGGAGGAACACCAGUGGCGAAGGCGGUUCUCUGGGCCUUUCCUGACGCUGAGGAGCGAAAGCGUGGGGAGCGAACAGGCUUAGAUACCCUGGUAGUCCACGCUGUAAACGGUGGGUACUAGGUGUGGGGUCCAUUCCACGGGUUCCGUGCCGUAGCUAACGCUUUAAGUACCCCGCCUGGGGAGUACGGCCGCAAGGCUAAAACUCAAAGGAAUUGACGGGGCCCCGCACAAGCGGCGGAGCAUGCGGAUUAAUUCGAUGCAACGCGUAGAACCUUACCUGGGUUUGACAUGGAUCGGGAGUGCUCAGAGAUGGGUGUGCCUCUUUUGGGGUCGGUUCACAGGUGGUGCAUGCCUGUCGUCAGCUCGUGUCGUGAGAUGUUGGGUUAAGUCCCGCAACGAGCGCAACCCUUGUUCACUGUUGCCAGCACGUUAUGGUGGGGACUCAGUGGAGACCGCCGGGGUCAACUCGGAGGAAGGUGGGGAUGACGUCAAGUCCUCAUGCCCCUUAUGUCCAGGGCUUCACGCAUGCUACAAUGGCUGGUACAGAGAGUGGCGAGCCUGUGAGGGUGUGCGAAUCUCGGAAAGCCGGUCUCAGUUCGGAUUGGGGUCUGCAACUCGACCUCAUGAAGUCGGAGUCGCUAGUAAUCGCAGAUCAGCAACGCUGCGGUGAAUACGUUCCCGGGGCU